GCCCGUGGCUCAGGCGUGUCUGUGCCUUUAAGAGGCUGAGCCAGGUGGCUGCUGUUUCUCGACUUGCCGUUUCCUGCUCUCCUCCUUGUGCUGCUUCUCUGGCGCUUGUGUGGGCACCGGCUGGCUGGGGCUGGGCACAGCUGCACCCACCUCACCCAUGUCUGCACUGGGCAGAAGCAGCAUGAGGUGCUCCAACCGCCUGGGCGAGAUCGACGAGGGCCUGUACUCGCGGCAGCUCUAUGUGCUGGGCCAUGAAGCCAUGCAGCGGCUGGCAAAAACCUCUGUGCUGGUGUCGGGGAUGAAGGGCCUGGGUGUGGAGAUUGCCAAGAACAUCAUCCUGGCUGGGGUGAAAUCCGUCACUGUGCACGACCUGGGCAACGCCCAAUGGAGUGACCUCUCCUCGCAGUUCUUCCUGUCUGAGAGCGAUGUGGGCCGGAACCGAGCCGUGGCCUCCCAGCAGCACCUGGCAGAGCUCAACAGCUACGUGUCUGUGACAGCAUACACCAGGGAGCUGUCUGAGAGCUUCCUGGCAGCCUUCCAGGUUGUGGUUCUGAGCAACUCGCCCCUGGAGGAACAGCUCUGCGUCAGCGACAUUUGCCAUGCCCGCAGCAUCCGCUUCGUCCUAGCCGACACCAAGGGGCUGGCCGGGCAGCUGUUCUGUGACUUCGGGGAGAACUUCGUGGUCAACGAACCCUCGGAGGCCGAGCCCGUCUGUGCCUACGUCCAGCACAUCUCGCAGGGCAAUCCUGGGGUGGUGACCUGCAGGGACGGGCAGGGCCACGGCCAUGGCUUUGCAGAUGGUGACUUUGUGACAUUCUCAGAUGUGGAGGGCAUGAGCCAGCUGAAUGGCUGCAAGCCCCGCGCCAUCCAUGUUCUGGAUGAGUUCAUGCUGGAGAUUGGGGACACGGCCUUCUUUGCCCCAUACCAGCGCGGUGGAGUCAUCACCCAGGUGAAGGUGCCACAGCUGUACUCCUACGAGCCUCUGAGAGCAGCCCUGGCCAAGCCGAAGAUCAAAGCCAUGGACGACCGAGGGCACAGCUUGCACCUGGCCUUCCGGGCACUGCAUGCCUUUGUUGCCGAGAUGGGACAGCUGCCCCGGCCCAGAGCCCAGGCAGAUGCCAAGAGGCUGCUGGAGUUGGCACGAGGCCUGACUGCACACCAGGAGCUGCUAGACGAGGGGCUUGUGCGGACAUUUGCCCACGUGAGCGCAGGGGAGCUGAGCCCCAUGGCCGCCCUCCUUGGAGGCCUGGCUGCCCAGGAGGUGCUGAAGGCUGCCUCAGGGAAGUUCUUGCCGCUGGCCCAAUGGCUUUACUUUGAUGCGCUGGAGUGCCUGCCCAAGCAGGGCACUGCACUGCUGACGGAGGAAUCCUGUGCCCCGCGUGGCAGUCGCUAUGAUGGGCAGAUCGCUGUGUUCGGGGCUGACUUCCAGGAGAAGCUGGGCCGGCAGAAGUACUUUGUGGUGGGAGCUGGAGCUAUUGGCUGUGAGCUGCUGAAGAACUUUGCAAUGAUUGGGCUGGCGGCUGGCAAGGGCGGGAGCAUCACCGUGACGGACAUGGACACCAUCGAGCGCUCCAACCUCAGCCGGCAGCUGCUCUUCCGCCAGCGGGAUGUGGGUAAGCUGAAGUCGGAGACAGCAGCAGCGGCUGUACGGCACAUGAACCCCAUGACUAGGGUGACAGCCCAGCCGCACCAUGUGGGGCCCGACACGGAGACACUCUACGGGGACGACUUCUUCACAGCCCUGGACGGCGUGGCCAAUGCUCUGGACAGCAUGCAGGCCCGGGCCUAUGUGGACGGCCGCUGCAUUCGCUACCUCAAGCCCCUGCUGGACUCAGGCACCGAGGGCACCAAGGGCCACGUGCAAGUCAUCGUGCCCUAUCUGACACAGCCGUUCAGGAGCUCGAUGGACCUCAUGGAGUCAGCCGUACCCCUGUGCACCCUGCGCCACUUCCCCAGCACCAUCGAACACACCCUACAGUGGGCCCGGGAUGAGUUUGAUGGGCUCUUCAAGGUGCCUGCGGAGAAUCUCAACAAAUACCUGGAGGACCCAGCCUUCCUGGAGGGACAGUGGACGACGCAGGAUCUGGAGGGGGUGCGAAGCAGCCUGCAGGAGAAGCCGCGCAACUGGCAGGACUGUGUGUGCUGGGCCAGGCAGCACUGGGAGAGCCUCUAUCGCCAUGCCAUCCUAAACCUGCUGCAUGCUUUCCCACCCAGCCACGAGACCAGCCCUGGGGUCCCCUUCUGGGCAGGGCCGAAAAGAUGCCCCCGGCCCCUCGAGUUUGACUGCGACAAUAGCACCCACAUGCAGUACAUCAUGACGGCUGCCAGCCUCUUUGCCCAGACGCACAGGCUGCAGGUGCCCCGGGACCGGGCGGCUGCCAGGGAGACACUACGGGCCAUGGCCGUGCCGCUCUUCCAGCCGGAGGUGGGGGUGCGGAUCCCUGUCACGGAGGAGGAGAUGGAGGAGGCGCCUGCUGGGGUCGAUGAGGAGCAGCUGGCAGCACUGAAGCAGGAGCUGGCAGAGCACAGACGGGCACUGCUGGAGGGGGGGUGCGGUAGCUCCCACCGCAUGGAGCCUAUCCACUUUGAGAAGGACGAUGACAGCAACAGCCACGUAGAUUUCAUCAUGGCUGCAUCCAACCUGCGGGCUGCGAACUAUGGCAUUGCCCCCGCCGACUGGCACAAGAGCAAGCGGGUGGCGGGCAGGAUCGUGCCUGCCAUUGCCACCACAACAGCGGCAGUGGCCGGACUGGCAUGCCUGGAGCUCUACAAACUGGUGUGGGGGCACCAGGACCUCGGCUCCUACCGCAACAGUUUCCUGCAGCUUGCGGAGCCGCUGCUUGCCCGCUUCCAGCCCCUGGCGCCCUCAGCCACUUACAAGUAUGGCCACGAGACGUGGAGCUGCUGGCAUCGGGUCGAGGUGCCUGGGAUCAGCACUCACGGGGAGGAGCUGAGCCUGCAGGAGCUCCUGGACCAGCUGCAGCUUAUGGGAAGUGAGCGCCCAGUGCUGGUCCUGGCGCUGAUCUGCCCCAUCCCUGACGCCCCUCCUUCCUUACAGGGGGUGCACGGCCUGCCAGUGCGCACAGUGCUGUGCGGGGUGACCAUUCUCUAUGCCAGCUUCUGGGCUAAGCAGAAACGUGAGGCACAGCUCGCCCGCAGAUGAUUGGCUGCCGGCUGCGGCUGUUCAAGAGGGCAGCGAAGCGGGUGCAGUCUGUGCUCUUGUAGGCCAUACCAGCCAAGGCCCCAGCCGAGCGCAGCCCUGCAGGGGGUGGCUCAGGCAGCUGGUCCUAGCAGCCUGGCAUCCAACAUGCCAUGGAAACCGUCUAACAUCCAGCUCUGCCAAAGCUUCAACCUGAACUGGGGCCAGGUUUGCCCAGAGCUGCUGGAGGAUUGAGGGCAUUCGGGCCACAUGCUCCCCAGGGGCCAGGGAAAUCACCCUGCCGAGUGUGCAGACCCAGGCGGGCCCAGAGACAGCAGGGCUAGUGCCAGGGGCCCACUCCCAUAGCGGAGGCCAUGCCCAGGGCUCCGGAACAGCCCCAGGAUCUGCCCGUUCAGCCCUAGCCCCAGCCUGGGGACACGGCAGACCCUACAGGAGGGAGACAUGGGACCAAGGGACAGGACCCAACAGCACCUCUGCCACUACCAGUCAGGGCUGAACUGGGGCCAGCUUGGGCGGAUUGGCUCCCCCAGCUCUGAUGUCACUAUCCCCUCGGGCGGAUUGGCUCCCCCAGCUCUGAUGUCACUAACCUGUCAC